rnacentral:rRNA from 1 species
GGAGUCUGGGCCGUGUCUCAGUCCCAAUGUGGCCGUUCAACCUCUCAGUCCGGCUACUGAUCGUCGACUUGGUGAGCCGUUACCUCACCAACUAUCUAAUCAGACGCGAGUCCAUCUCUGAGCGAUAAUUCUUUGAUAGCUAAAAGAUGCCAUUCAGCUAUGUUAUGAGGUAUUACCAUCCGUUUCCAGAAGCUAUCCCUCUCUCAGAGGCAGGUUGCUCACGUGUUACUCACCCGUCCGCCACUAAGAAUAAAGACGAAUCCUUAUUCUCCGUUCGACUUGCAUGUGUUAAGCGUGCCGCCAGCGUUCGUCCUCGAGCCAUGAUCAAACUCU